rnacentral:tRNA from 1 species
GGGUCGUUAGCUCAGUCGGUAGAGCGGUUGGCUUUUAACCAAUUGGUCGUAGGUUCGAAUCCUACACGACCCACCA